GGAGCACCGCCAUGUGUGGAAGAUCUUCUUUCUGGUUCUGGGUACUUUCAGCUGUUCCCUUUUAUGGUGCAACAUGGGAACACUUCUUCACCAAUACUCUAGUUCUUCCUGUUGUAAAUGGACCUACUGAGGGUCUCAUGCUGAUUUAUUUAUGUCAUUUUUUCACAACCUUUGUGGGUGCUGGGUGGUGGGCUCAGCAGUUCGG
rnacentral:misc_RNA from 1 species